CAAUAGCGUAUAUUAAAGUUGUUGCAGUUAAAAAGCUCGUAGUUGAAUUUCUGGUCAAUUUUAGUUUCGGCUUCGGUCGGUCUAAGGUUGGCCAUCCGUCUGCAAGCUAUUCUCGUCCUUCACUGUGUCGGUUUAGCGAGCUGACAUUUUACUUUGAAAAAUUAGAGUGUUUCAGGCAGGCUUUUGCCCGAAUACAUUAGCAUGGAAUAAUGGAAUUGGACUCUGGUCCAUUUGGUUGGUUAUUGGAUCUGAGUAAUGGUUAAUAGGGACAGUUGGGGGCAUUCAUAUUCCAUUGUCAGAGGUGAAAUUCUUGGAUUAACGGAAGAUGAACUAACUGCGAAAGCAUCUGCCAAGGAUGUUUUCAUUUGAUCAAGAACGAAAGUUAGGGGAUCGAAGACGAUUAGAUACCAU
rnacentral:rRNA from 1 species